GGGCACGGUGCCCUUCCUGCCACCACAACACCGCCCGCCUCCUUGGUCAGGAGCAUAGAAGGCACUUCAAAACAUGUGCUGACUCUAUGUCCCAGUUAGGGAGGAGAGCCUGUGCUGUCUCUCUUGGCCUCUCAGGAUGGAGGGCAGGAGUGGCAUCUCUCAAGAAGACCCCCUGCCUCAGAAGAGGCUCGGGUGAGAAUAUCCCCAAACCCUCUGCCUGCUGAGGAGGGGAGGAGUCCACAGGGCCCAUCAGACCCUCGGAUCUGAGCUGGGAGUCUGGGGGAUGGAUCUGAGCUGGGAUGUUGGAGAACGAAGCUGUGACUGGUAGUGUCGUGGGGCUGAGACACUCUCAGCAUCACAUCUCCCCAGAGGCCACUGCUCCUUAGGCCCUAGAGGCUGGAGCAUGCAGGAGGCACUUGCACCCUGUCCCCAGGAGGAGCUGGAAUCAGGCUCUGCGCGCUGUAGAGCUUUCCUCGGGUACCCCCUCCUCGGGGCCAGCAGCCAGAGGGCUGGUGGGAGAGCCUUGCAGGGUUGGAGGCCUCUGCUGAGGAGCCAGUGGCACCCUUCAGGCUGAAUGGGAUGUCAUGUUGUAGGAGGCUUUUUUCAGGGUCUCCAGGAAGAACUGUUCAUUCUCCAAGAAGUCACGGUCCUGGAAAGGCACACCUGGGCUCUUUACUAAGCAAACGCAUCCUGAUGGAGGAGCAGCAAGAGCCAGGGAAGGAAAGGGCAGGGCUGCUGAACUCCCCGCUGCUCUGGAGGCUCUGGGCCCUACCUUGGCCAGGCUGACGAGGGUGCCCUCCCGCUGGGUGUCCACCUGCAGUGCCCUCUCUGCCUCACGCUCGGCCCGUUCCUUACUCAGCUUUUGCUGUGCAUAGAAUUCGGCCCACUCGGCUGCAAGGCGCCGCCGCUCUUCCCCACACUUGUGCAUGACAGACUUCUGCUCCUCCAGCAAGGCACUCUGGGACAAGGAGGUGAGGUCACACAGUGAGCAGCUUUAGGCUUACGGCAGGGGUCACAGCCGUACACGGCGUGGCUGCACUCACCUUGGCCUUCUCCAGCUCCUCCCGCUCCAUGGCGAUCUGCUGGACCAUGACCUUCCUCUGCUCUUCCAGAGCGCGCUGCGCGGACUCAACUCUGGACUGCUCGGCAUUCACCCGCCAUCGCUCCUGGGGGCCAGGUGAGGGCUAAGGACACAUGUGUCCUCGACGCUCCACCUGCACCCUCUGCGCCCCGGUCAGGUCUGACUAUGCCCUGGGGAGCUGGGCCAACCCGCCCGCCUCUCCCACACUGGGCCACAAACGCCUCCAGAGAGGUACGGAAGGAGAGGUGCUGAGCAGGGCUGCCAGGGCCCAGCCGCUGGGGAGGAAGUGCCUCAAGGUUCUAGUGGUGCAGGAAUAGCCCUCACAGGGCCGGAGCACAGCCACGGACGGCCCCACUCCCCAGAGUGCCAGCUAUUGCACUCUGCCUGCCUGUCUCCCAUCCACCAAGCAGGCAAGUGUGCCAGGGCAGGUGUGACACGGUGUAUGCCAGGGGACUAGGGGACACACAAGCAUGGCCCGAGACAGGGGCCUUAAUAGUUACCAAAUAACUGAAUACGUAUGGUUCACGAAACAAACACACCAGGUCAGUAUGUCUAUGGGAGGGAUGGGAGGUCCCCAGUGGCUAUCUCUGGCUAGUGGGUAAUUUUAAUUUGCUCCUUUGUUGCUAAUCAUAUUUUAAUUUUUUCAAUAUAAUGUAUCACGUUAUAAUCUAGUACAAAGGAAAGAAAAGGAAUGACUUUUUUAGAGAAUGGAGCUUGCUCUUCUAUACAAAAGAUAUGCAGGACUUCAAACGUGCAGCUCUUAGAGCUCAGCAGACAUCGGCUUCGGUGGAUGGAUGAAUGUGACGGACCCGGGCAAGGUGGGGAGAACGCGUGGGAAGGAGAGCCCUGGCGGCACCCCUGGGGUGCUGGGGAGACAGGCCCUGCCGGCAGGAGGAUGGCCCACCUGCUCCAGUAGCCGGCUUUGCUCGUUCAGGCGCGCCUCCAUCUUCCCGAUGACCUCCUGGAGCCGGCUCCGCUCCUCCUCCAUGUCCCGCUGCUGCUGGCCCAGCCUCUCCUGCAGCGCUGGGGGGGCCAUGGGGCACUCAGCACCCACCCACUGUUCUAGUGCGAUGGGGGUGCAGGGGCAGGACCUGGGGCCCACCCGGUACCUCGGAGCUGCUGGUCAUGUUGCCGGAGCCCGAGCUCCCGUUCCUGGGUGGUGGUGAGGUGCGAGGCCUCCACGCGGGAGGACAGCUCGUGCAGGCUGCUGGAGAACUUCUCCAUCUGCUCGAUGAUGCCGUUCAGGGAUCUGGGUGGGUGCGGGUACUGGGUCAGCCUGGCCCCGGGCCAUGGGUCUGCCCCUCGGGUGGGCAGGGCCUGGAUGCUGCACAUACCGCGUGUGGGAGGUGGCGCUGGUGACCGCGUCGAUCUCGCGGUCCUUCAGCAGCUUCAUCCGCUGCAGCUGCUCCUCGUGGUCCUUGCGCAUCUCCAGGAUGGAGGCCCUGAGAGCAGUGGGGGGUGGCGCAGUGAGCAUGUGCGCAGAGCCGCGGCAGAGGGCUCAGCCAUCAGCGCUCCUGGCGUCUCUCCUCCUCCUCCUCCUCUCCUCCAGGCACUGCCUCUGCUUCUUUGGCUCCUCAUCCUAUGUGUCUUGGGGCCUCAAUGUCACAUCCACUCUAACGGGGAGACUCCUUCUGUUAUUUAGCAAAGGAUGCUUUACACAGUAGGAAAGACGGGUGUGUGGACAGCCUCUUCUGUCUGGCCAGUCCGGGAAGUGUUAAAAAAAUCUGCUCUGCACACAUCGACUGGCUCCCUUAUGUACCUGUUCUUAGUUCCAUUCUCAUCUAGAAAGGCAACCAGAUGGACACACCAAGCGCAAAAGUGCAAACCCUUUCCAAGGUCGAUCUAGUCACUAGACUGGAGUGCGUCAGUGGGUGAAGGACUUGACCUGUGUUGAGUUAGGUCCUUGAGAUGCCGGGAUUAACCUAAACAGCCAGGGACCUCUGCCCUGCUGUUGGAGGAGUAUGGGCCCUCCACUCAAAGGGGGGUGGGUGGGUUAGUGUGCUUGGCCUUGGUCCUCACAUGGAAGGGAAGGGGUCACGCUUCAGUUGCUGAGCCACGGCUUGGGGGGUCUCCAGGAAACGGACUUCCUCUGGCCAUCCUCCAAACCAGCUCCCCCUGCCUGCCUGCCCUGGGCCUCGCCCUCACCGCUGCAGCUCCCGAAGCCGCUCCAUCUCCUGGUCCUUCUCUUGCAUGGCAGCCGCCAAGCGACGCUGGUGCUGGGCUGUGAGCUCGGCGUGGGCUUGCUCAGCUUCUUGGCAGUGAGACAGAUACCGGGCCGACAGCUCCUCAUGCUCCCUCCGUAGCCGCUCUUCCCGUUGCUGGUACGAUGUUUCUAGCACCUUUAUUCGGCUUCUGCCAACAAAACACAGUCGUAGGGCUCAGAGGGUGAGGUGAGAUACCUAAAGAGCCUCUCGGAGCACGUUGGCUAGGGCAGGCCCUGAGGCUUGGGAAACCCAGAUGGGAGGAGUUGGGGGGGUACCUGUGAGCACUCUCGAUGAGCUCUAGGUCAGCCUGGUGCCGCUGCUGCAAACUCUCCAGCAGCAGCUGGUGCUGUGCCCGCUCUAGCUCCAGCUUCCGCACCUGGAGACGGUGGGAGGGUGGCAAGGGGGGCUCCCUGGGGAAGCCUUCGGGCCCUCAGAGGGAGACCUUCCCGUCUCAGCUUUGCCCCCCAGCCCGGGGCUCCUCUGCCCCUUCACCUGGGCCUCCAGCUCUGCCAGCUGGGCCUGACUCUGCAGAAGGUCAGCCUGGAGCUCAGUAGUGCCACUCUGAAGCUGCACCUGUGCGGCCAGGAGCUGUCUCUGGUAUUCUGUGCCUGGCAACAGGCUCUGCACCAGGGCCUCCGGGAGCAGAGGCUGCAGGAGAGGGUGGGAGAUGUUCCAGGGGACAGGGACUCAGCGAAGCUCAGCUACCUUUGGCCCUUAGCUCACUGGACCUCCCAGGCCCUGCACUUGACCUGUGGCUGCAGAUGGGGACAGAGAUGUGACACCAAGAGGCCAAGGACGAGGCCUUGGAGUCAUGCAACUGUUGUACCUCCCCACUGAGUCUGGUUAGAAUGAGUCUCCGCUCCCCCCUCAGAACAUCUUCCCAGCAGGUGUUCCAGAUCCCUGGACCAGCCGCAGGGCCCCAGCAGCAUCUCAGCUGUGACAGUAGUGUCCUCCUGCCAGGCCUCCAGACCAAAUGUUGGGUGCUACUCUUCUUCCUGCAGGUUGCCCACCCCCUACCACCUCCAAAGGUGCUUCUGGGUUCCUGGGGAUAUGUCUCUGUGGCCUCCUCACUGCUGGGCUCAGGCGUGACUGGCUGCCAUCCACAGCUGGCAAACAGCAGACAGCAAGUAUGGAGGCAGCUUUCUAGACAGACGACGGGACAUCUGCAGCCCUACUUUCUGACCAUUCCUUGCUCCAUGCUCCCCAACCUCCCCUGUGGAUGCCACCUCUAAUUCCCUCCCAGAGUUGAUAAAUUACUAUGACUCUGCCCGAGAAUGGCAAGGCUAGAAGUUGAGGGAAGUGCUGGGGGAGGUGCUGUCUAUCCUGACACAUGACUCCCCGUAGGCUAUUGGCUCAAACUACAGCUGUUGCCUCUGAGCACGGGAGAUUUGCUCCAUGGGCCUGAGGCCCAUUCCUGUCUGUCCACCCUGCCUACCUGGGCGGGCAGAGAAGGCCCUGUGGGCUCCUGGGACCUCGGGAGACCAGCUGCAGGCUCUGAAAAUCAACGACAGAGAAAUGAGCAGGAGGCCUGAAGAGCAUCUCUUGUGUGUUUGGGAGUCCAGCUCUACUCACCUUCCAGGACCCCAAAGGAAGCUCAAAGUGCCUCUUCCCCACCCAGAGGUAAAGCAUCAAACAAAGUAGGAAACAAACCAGCACUGGAGAGGUCUCCAAGGGCUGUUCCCUUCUUUGGGUCACCUACAGGGAGGGUCGAGGCAGCCCGGUUCCAAGUCACAGGGGACCUAAGGACACAGAGAUUUGGGGAGUCAGUGGUGGCAAGGUGAAUAGCCUCCUGUGAGGAACACAGGCAGAAAAGAGAAGGGUUGGCAUGGGCAGGAAAGGAAAACAGGUACAGGUAGUUGACUGGAAAGGCCUGGUGGCUGGCAGUUCACUAAGAGUGAGGUCUUGGUUGGGUAAAGGGAGAUGGGGCCCGGCUUUAGGUCCCCAUAGUCAUGGGCCCGACACAAGGUACCAAAUACCAUAUACCAAACUGAUCAGGUCAAAGCCCAGCACAGCUGCCCAUCAUCUCUAAGGAAGGAGGCCCACACGCAAGCCCAACCCCACCUCUCACCCCGAGGUGGCGGGCCUUGUAGGUGGCUUCUGUGUUGUUCCUGAGGGCCCUCCAGUGGCUGCCUGCUCGAACUCCUGCGCGCUGGUAACAGGUUGGCUGAGGAAGUAAAUGUUAAAGCAAAGGUAGCAGAAGGUUCAGGUCGGGCUCACCAUGGCUGGGUGGGGACAAGGCCUGAGCAUGAAGUUGCUCACCAUUCCUCCCCUCAGCCUGUUCCCAUCAUCCCGUCCUGGGACUUCUCCUCCCAAGUCUGAGCCCCUGGCCUUCCAGUACCCGCCAGGGCACAGUGGAGGGGCACUGACCGUCUGCUGACAGCCCAAGGAAUGACAAUCCACACUUUACAGAUACCAGAAUUCAGUUCAAGGCCUUGUUCUGGCCCACAUAGCUUUGCUGAGUUAGACUGGGGCUCUGCUCACUCUCCUGCCAGGUCCAGUUCCCUCUGGAUUCUUUUCUCCAGUCCGUGGUUUCCACCCACCUUGGCUCUCAGGGUCAAAGGGAAGCCUUCCGCUUAGUUUCAGAUGGAGGUCAACACUACCCUCCUCAUUCACACCACCCUUGGGGCUGGGUGAUGUCUCUGGCCUAUCACACAAUUGCCUACUUCACCUCUUCCUCACUGUGGCCACCUGGCAUCUUGUCACUUCCUCUGAACAAUCCCAGUCUUUCUAGUCCCUUUUGCCCUCUUACCCUCAGAGGCCACUUGGUGUCCUGCCCCACAGGAUUGCCUCACGGUGGUUUUCCCUAGGAGUUGCCUCUUAGCCACUGUCUUCUCUAAUACUCCCCCAAAGCAUGAGCAUGUGUCAUGUACUGUAGGUAGCUCAGGCCAGCAGAGGCACCAAUAAUUUGGGUGCUGGGUCUUUUGUGACCCCAAGGGCACUGUGGGCAAGGCCCUUGCUCUAAGGCACCAGGAUGACUGUGCUUCAUCACAUCAAGGUGCCCUCUGUCCCCGGCUGAUCAAGUCAGCCCUUGUCCACAUGACAGUCAGGGUUGUCUACAGCCUCCAGAUCCCCUCCUGUCUGCACCUGGGCCAGGGUGGGGAGCCAGACACUCUCUCUGUCCAGAGAGGUAGAGAGGCAUAGCUAAGAGGUGGUACAGGCUGGCACUCCUAAAUGAGGCAUGGAGAUGGCCCCUCAUGCCCCAGCCUGGACCUCCCUGCCCUAGAUAGUAGCCCCAAUCCAUACCUGCUGGCAGGGGGGCUGCCUCCUGCCCCCACCAGAUUCUGGCCUUUAGAGGCCUCACUGUGUUCCUCUCUGGCCAGAUCCUGGGACUUCUUCCGAGACAAGGCAUGACUCAGCCAAUCCUCUUCCUCUUUCUCCUCAGAAGCUCCCAGCUUGGAGGCCUGACUGGCUUUGGCAAGGAUAUCUGCACCCCCAGUUGGUAGCUUGGCCCCCGAAGAGGAGGAGGGCAGUCCAGGGGAGGUAGAGUGCCGGCCUGGGGCAGAGUGCUGGCUCUUGGGAGGGAGCACGGAGGAUGUGGAGAGUGCUGAGCCUCCCUUCUGCGCCUCUGCCUCUCCGGUGGGAGAGGGAGGGAGCAGGUCCUCAUCCUUGAGGCCCAACCAGUCAGCUCCUCCCUUCUUAGGGUGGGUGGGGCUGGAGGCCGCUAGGGUGCUCUGUUUGGAGCCUGGUUCUCCCUUGGGGUCUGCGCCACCUUCUGCUAGGAACCUACUUUAAGAUAGAGAGGAGGGGGGUCUAAGGCAGGGCAAAGAGGUCUUCCAAACAUCCCCCUGACCAGCCUCUCCCUCCACUGCUUGGGGUGACUAUGAGGCCCGCACUAAAGAGUCAGAGGUGCCCGGGGCUCUGUGCAGCCAGCCUGACGCCCAGCAAGCACAGUGCCCACAGCAGCUCGGGCGGCAGAGCAGCGGCCAGCAAACACAGACACCUUGAAUUCCACCAUGUGAACAGGGAUGAGCCCGCCAGGAGGCACCAUGCUGGAUCCCAGGCCCAUUCCUGGGGAGCAUGAUGUGGAGAAGCCACUGAAGGCUCAUGGUCUCGCUACACUGGGACCCAACAUUCCUCAGGGAGAUCGGCUGACCUCUGCAGCUUAGGGCUUUAGGGGUUCCCAGUGGGGCUGGGGCUGCCUCCCCCUUUUCCUUCCAAGGAGGCUGGAAGGAAAUCAGCCUGGAAGGGCAGGACUGUGCCACGUCCCUCCUCCUGCACCUGCACCACCCUUAGGCCCCAUAUGUGUGGUUCCCAAACAAACUGUCGGCAGGAUGGGGAUAGGGAGGCUGGGGCACCUCUUCCUUCCUGGUGGGCACGCACCUCCCAAGGCCAGCCUCCCUGCAGGCCCCGCUUACCUGACCGACUGCCGGCGACACUGCCGGCCCUCACCGGAGCCCACGGUGGGCUGGUAGUCCCCGAAGAUGAAGUCUUCAUCACUCCGGGGAUCUUCUUUGUCUGUAAAGGAAGAAUCCUGUGAUCAAGAGCAAGGGAAUCAGACUUGUGGCUGUAGAACUCUGUUGAAAAAACCCAAACUGGUAACUUGAUGUGUCCAGCACGUAAAUAAAGGUGAAGCUGCUCUGGGGGAAGCAGGGGUGCCGUGCUGGUGAGAGCUCGAUGUUUUAGGACCCAGCACUCUGGGCAUCAUCUGGGAGCUGUGAAAAAUGCCCUGGUGGGAUCCUGCCCCAGACAUCCUGUAGAUGAGGCCUGGGGAGCUGUGUGUGCCAUGAGAACGAUUCUCAACAGAUGGCCCGUGGGCUGACACUUUGAGAAACGCUGGUCUAGAGCGACCUUUUUCAAACUGUGACCUACCAGCUGGUCAAGAGUUGUUGUGAGUCACAACCAAUGUUUUUAAAAAUCAAACAGCACAUAAAUACAAAGUAACAGAAUAUCGAACAUGGUAA